rnacentral:rRNA from 1 species
AAAGGGUCCGCAGGCGGAUUUAUAAGUCAGUGGUGAAAUCCUAUCGCUUAACGAUAGAACUGCCAUUGAUACUGUAAGUCUUGAAUUCGGUCGGAGUGGGCGGAAUGUGUAGUGUAGCGGUGAAAUGCAUAGAUAUUACACAGAACACCGAUAGCGAAGGCAGCUCACUAGGCCUGAAUUGACGCUCAGGGACGAAAGCGUGGGGAUCAAACAGGAUUAGAUACCCCUGU